rnacentral:lncRNA from 1 species
GGAAAACCUACAUAUGGAAGAAAAUCCUUAAUAGUGUUGCCCUUUUAAAAGUCAUGACUGGAAACUGCAGUUUAUAUUUUCAGUGUUGAACAUGAAACUGAGCACAGACUACAGUAGACAUUUCAAAAUGGCACCCAACUCCAGAAAAUCAAAGUCGGUAUAUGGAAUCCUUGCCCUGUGUGGAACCCUCAGAAGAAGGAAAGGGAGGCUGAGGACAAACCCUGGGUACGGACCUAUUGUACAGCAGUUACAGCAAUGCCAAGAGCACAGUGUGCUGCUACUGCUGCUUUGCUGCUGUGCAAAUCUUGGACUUCAAAAUGGGCACGCACGUAAUAGAUGCAGCACAGAUCUUUGGACAUGGCAGACACGAUUUCAGACCUGCACAGCAGCGCUGACUGUAGGCAGGAAGCAUAUGCCAUGUGUAAUAUUUUAAUUUCCUGGUAGCAGCAAUUCUUACAGGCACAAUAGCAGAGCCCGAUAAUGCGAAGUGAGCAGUUCCCCACGCCGCUCACAAACCCUCCUGAGUAGACCUCUGCUUGGCAAGGCAGGCUUAAACCCAGCCAGGAGCCCUGCCAGCAACAGCACAGACCCAGUGCAUUUCUACGUUGGCUCUUCUCCGGUGGCCUCUGCCAACUGGCUCCCGAACCGUGGCGGAGCACAGAGCAAACUCCUUCACUUAACCCCCUGCCACAACCCAGCAGAGACCAAAGGCUGGCUCCCAGCCUCUCCAUGAGAAGAUCUCACCUUUCUCAAAAAGCCCUGGAACUAGAGAGUGUGGACUGCACAGCAGCACUCGUGCAAGCGUUAGCAAAUACAUGCUGUCCGGCUUUUCAGAAGACAUCAGUAGAUAGAGUUAUCCCCACUCACCCCAUCCUACACUUCACCUCUCCUGCCUCUCUCUCCACACACCCACGUGUUAAAAUUAAGUGGGUCUUAACAGAUCCGUAAGUGGGAUAUACCCAAGUGUUUCCAAUUUACCCUCAGUGAACUUGAAUGAAAAACAUUUGAAAAUGAAAUUCUUCGUGAAAUCUUACAGCCUUGCUACAGCAUAUGGAGCUAAUUUCAAAUAGCACUUUGAUAAUGUCAUGAUCUGUUAGAAAGUGUUCACCUUAUACUGAAGAUAUUAUAAACUCGGUUGCAUCACUCAGUAUACGUUCAUCUUAUGAUCCAUAAGAAAGCUAUUUAGCGGAUUGUGAAAUACGAACUUUGGCCAGAGCUAAUUUAGAAAGCUCGGUGUACUGUGGAUGGUGGAGCUCAUUUCUUCUGUGAGCUCCGUAUUAUUCAACUGUUCACAGCUAGUAAAUUCACAUCUAAUAAGCUGCAAAAGUUAUCGGAUGAAACCCAGCCUAUUGUAAUCCCCACAUGAAGCAAAUAACUGCUGAAAAAUUAGUUCCAGCAUGCAUAACAUAUUUUCGCAAACAGCAUCUGAUAAAGGAAUUGGCUUUAUUAACAACUAACUUACAAAUCACACAACGGAGAAAACACAAAAUCUGUUCUAUCUCUCCAGGCCACAGCAUUUCUCAAAUGCUUACCAGGAAAGAAAAGGGCUUAACUGGAAACAAAAGCAUGUACAGACCACAUCUCCCGGCGGGCACAUAGCUUGGAACGGGCAACACGGCGGUAGAACGAUGGUGGAGUAGAACGGAUUUAGUAGAAGGGAUUUGCAGGACAUGAAACACAGGCGAAAAGGUGCUGGUGCUAAUGAAAGCCUUGCUGUAGGGCUGCUGUAAGAGGCAUCGACAAUGCCGAGGAGGCCAUAUUCAUAAGUUUAGCCAAACAGUUCCUUUCUCUGGAUUUAGGAAUAAUAGGUUUACAGCCCGCUUCUCGAGCCAAGGGCCAAAGAUUCCUAUUGUGAGUCCAACUACCUCUGGGUUCUCCCGAACCCCAACAGGCAGUACUAUAACCCAGAGCUCUGCCAGCAACCGGGGCAAAUGGCAAUGUAAGCACAAAUACGUGCUUAUCUGGGGCUUUCCCCUCUGCCUCUGUGGGGACAGAGGGUGGUGUGAAGCUGCCUGAGUCAGAUUCGUGCUCCCCAGAAUAUCCCCAGUUUGCAGGCAGUUCUUAAGAGCCUCUUGACCCCAUGUACAACAAACACGGGGUGGCAGAGCCUACAAAUCCUUGGAUUCUCCCUAGAACAGGGAGCUUUCAGGCACUGUAAACUGGGAUAUCAGAAGCACUGCCUCAAAUCUGGAACAACUCUCAGAAGUCAACUUCUUUGCUACAGACCAAAAUUGGGUCCAUUGCUGAAUUUGCAAAGCCUGAUUCCUGUGUAAUACUCAAGACAUCACCUGAAGUCCCAAGUGUGACAACAACCCUACUGUGGUUUCCCUUCAGCAAGUUUCCAACAAAUAAAUAAGCAAACAGUAACA